CGAGCUUGUCUGGUGAAAACAAGUACUGCUAAUUCUUUGUUCCCAUGGUUCAACUCCAUGGCUAGCUCGA
rnacentral:tRNA from 1 species